rnacentral:rRNA from 1 species
UGAUAUUUUAUAAUUUAUUAAUUUUAAUUUUUAAUUUAUUUUAUAAUAAAUAUAUUUAUUUUUAUUAUUAACAAGAAUAAAUUUAUUUUAUGAUAGUUAAUUAGUACUGUAGAGGAAUAUAGAGAAAUUUGGAAAAAAAGGAUUUUUUUGUACCUUGUGCAUCAGGGUUUAUUUAAUAAAUUAUAAAUUAUUAUUUUUCUCGAAUUUAAAAGAGCUAAAAUUUUAUAAAUUUUAUUGUAUCAUAAAUAUUUAUAAUAUAAUUUUAGUAAUGAAAUGUUAUUCGUUUUUAAAUAUAUCUAGUUUUUUAAGAAAUAAAUUUAAUUUAGUAAUUAAAUUUAAAAUUAUUUAUUUUUAAUGGUUUUAAUUUAAUUUUAAAUAAAUUAAGGGAUAAGCUUUAAUUUAAAAUCUUAUAAUUUAAUUUUAUAUUUAUAAUUUAUAGGAAUAAUAAUUUCUAUUUAUAAAAGUUUAUAAAAAUUUAUUAUAAUUAUAUUAAUAUUUAUAUUUUAUUUAAGUUUUUUAUUAAAAUUAAUAAUUUAAUUUUUAUUUUAUUGAAAUAGUGAUAAAAUUAGUAUUAUAAAUAUAUAUAUAUAUAUAUAUAUAUAUAUAUAUAUUAAUAUUAAUUAUAGUAAUUCGGCAAAUAUAUUUUUCACCUGUUUAUUAAAAACAUCUCUUUUUGAAUAUAAUUUAAAGUAGGGCCUGCCCACUGAUUUUAUUAAAGGGCCGCAGUAUUUUGACUGUGCAAAGGUAGCAUAAUCAUUAGUUUUUUAAUUGAAAGCUUGUAUGAAUGGUUUGAUGAAAAAAUGACUUUCUUUAAUUAAUAAAAAAAAUUUUAUUUUUAAGUUAAAAAGCUUAAAUGUUUAUAAUAGACGAGAAGACCCUAUAGAGUUUAAUUAUUAUUAUUUUAAAAAUUUUUAGAAUUUAUAAUUUUUAUUUUUAUAAUAAUUUGAUUGGGGUGAUUGAAAAAUUAAUUUAACUUUUUUUUUUAUUAAACCAUUUAUUUAUGUAUAUUUGAUCCAAUUAAUUGAUUAUAAGAAUAAAUUACCUUAGGGAUAACAGCGUUAUUUUUUUUUAGAGUUCAAAUCGAAAAAAGAGAUUGCGACCUCGAUGUUGGAUUAAAGUUAAAUUUAGGUGUAGAAGCUUAAGUAUUUGGUCUGUUCGACCAUUUAAACUUUACAUGAUCUGAGUUUAAACCGGUGUAAGCCAGGUUGGUUUCUAUCUUUAUAAAAUUUUUAGUUUUUAGUACGAAAGGACCAAAAUUAAAAUUUAAAAUUUAAUUUAAAUGAAUAAAAU